UAUAGUGUUGACAUCUACACUACUAUAACAGGUCAGUUAUCUGGUGAUAGUAUAGUUGUUGAUAUCUACACUACUAUAACAGGUCAGUUAUCUGGUGAUAGUAUAGUGUUCUGACAUCUACACUACUAUAACAGGUCAGUUAUCUGGUGAUAGUAUAGUGUUGACAUCUACACUACUAUAACAGGUCAGUUAUCUGGUGAUAGUAUAGUGUUGACAUCUACACUACUAUAACAGGUCAGUUAUCUGGUGAUAGUAUAGUGUUGAUAUCUACACUACUAUAACAGGUCAGUUAUCUGGUGAUAGUAUAGUGUUGACAUCUACACUAUAACAGGUCAGUUAUCUGGUGAUAGUAUAGUGUUGACAUCUACACUACUAUAACAAGUCAGUUAUCUGGUGAUAGUAUUGUGUUGACAUCUACACUACUAUAACAGGUCAAUUAUCUGGUGAUAGUAUAGUGUUCUGACAUCUACACUACUAUAACAGGUCAGUUAUCUGGUGAUAGUAUAGUGUUGAUAUCUACACUACUAUAACAGGUCAGUUAUCUGGUGAUAGUAUAGUGUUCUGACAUCUACACUACUAUAACAGGUCAGUUAUCUGGUGAUAGUAUAGUUUUGACAUCUACACUACUAUAACAGGUCAGUUAUCUGGUGAUAGUAUAGUGUUCUGAUAUCUACACUACUAUAACAGGUCAGUUAUCUGGUGAUAGUAUAGUGUUCUGACAUCUACACUACUAUAACAGGUCAGUUAUCUGGUGAUAGUAUAGUGUUGAUAUCUACACUACUAUAACAGGUCAGUUAUCUGGUGAUAGUAUAGUGUUCUGACAUCUACACUACUAUAACAGGUCAGUUAUCUGGUGAUAGUAUAGUGUUGACAUCUACACUACUAUAACAGGUCAGUUAUCUGGUGAUAGUAUAGUGUUGACAUCUACACUACUAUAACAGGUCAGUUAUCUGGUGAUAGGAUAGUGUUGACAUCUACACUACUAUAACAGGUCAGUUAUCUGGUGAUAGUAUAGUGUUGACAUCUACACUACUAUAACAGGUCAGUUAUCUGGUGAUAGUAUAGUGUUGACAUCUACACUACUAUAACAAGUCAGUUAUCUGGUGAUAGUAUUGUGUUGACAUCUACACUACUAUAACAGGUCAGUUAUCUGGUGAUAGUAUAGUGUUGACAUCUACACUACUAUAACAGGUCAGUUAUCUGGUGAUAGUAUAGUGUUGACAUCUACACUACUAUAACAAGUCAGUUAUCUGGUGAUAGUAUUGUGUUGACAUCUACACUACUAUAACAGGUCAGUUAUCUGGUGAUAGUAUAGUGUUCUGACAUCUACACUACUAUAACAGGUCAGUUAUCUGGUGAUAGUAUAGUGUUGACAUCUACACUACUAUAACAGGUCAGUUAUCUGGUGAUAGUAUAGUGUUGACAUCUACACUACUAUAACAGGUCAGUUUUCUGGUGAUAGUAUAAUGUUCUGACAUCUACACUAUAACAGGUCAGUUAUCUGGCAAAAAUUGCUCAGAUACACGAAUACGAUAUAAGAUUCAAAAUGUGUGAAUCUUGCCUUUAACAUUCCAGAAUCCUUCCUGAAUCACAUUCUAGUGUUCUGUUCCAUGU
ensembl:lncRNA